rnacentral:hammerhead_ribozyme from 1 species
AUCCAGCUGACGAGUCCAGCAUAGGAAUAAACAUGCGUCCGGGAU